CCCCUUUGCCUCUCAAACAGACGUAAGCUGUGGAUCUCAGACGGAGAGGUGGACACUGACUGGAGUUCGCAUGGAAGAGAAGUGAUCAGAGUGAAACGCCACAGUGGCAACUUUGAACAAUUCCACAGAAGUAGGCUCAACCUCGUGAGGACGUUUUCGACUUCUGUUUUGCAAACAGGGCCUUGCAACGCAAUGUUUUUAAGCUGCCGUGGACCGAAGCUCAAUCUCCCCUCGUGCCCGGAGUGUCUCCAACGGCUGACGUCCAAAACACCACUUUUAAAAAAUAUAUAUAUUUGAUCAUUAAGUUUUCAAUCUGAGUAUUUCCCAUUUAGUAAGUCGUUCCGGGCAGGUCCAGCUAUUUUGUGUCGAGUCACACUCCAGUCACACUGCAGACUAUGAAAAUAGGCUUUUGUUGCUGUUGUGUCUUAGCAAGGCUCCUCCUCCCUUGGUGGUUGUGUCAGGCUCAUCCUCCCUUCCUGCCCUCCGGACACUGAACUCAUUCUGUCACCGUCUCCUCUGCAUCACCGUCCCCCCCAUCCCCGUCCCCCCUCUGGUUGUUCCUCUGCUCUGUGACCUUACCCCUCAGUGGUGUGAGACCUGUCUCUCCCUCUUCCACCCCCUCCAUCAGCACACACCCCUCUCAGCCUCAUCCUCUUCUCCGGACGUGUCAGCUCUGCUUACGAGACACCCUUCCUCUCUCUCCCCCCCCCCCCCCUCUCUCCAGACUUCCGACUCUGUUGCUUGCCACGGUGAACAUUCAACGCUGUCGGUGAGUUUUGGUAUGGAUCACAUAGAAACCAUCGACCGUUGACUGUGCCCCGUGGCACGGCCCGUCUCGACGCCAUCGCCGACCCGCCGCUUCCGUGCGAGAACGGAGAAAGGGGGGGAGGGAGGGAGGGAAGGAGGGAGGGAGGGAGGGAGGGAGGAGAAGAGAGGGGGAGGGGGAGCAUUCCAACGUUUAUCAGCGACACACCACGACGAGUCACGCGCAGAGCGAGACAAGAACGAGAUGUAACGUAGAUGAUGUACAAUCACGCACAUUGCACAUCAUCACCACUGAUCUCACACUGUUUCCAGUGUCUCGUCCCGUCACCCCCCCCCCCCCCCCCCCUGCUAACCGAAAGGAGCAAGGGUCACAAUCAACAUUCAUUGCUGUCGCUGGGUUGGACUGUGUGGAAAAGCUCACUGAACAAUGAGUGCAACUGUGGCCCAGAUCUGCCUUACUCUCGUGUCUCUGCCAAUAAAACGGAAAACAACCGGAUGUGAAA